GUGCGUACGUACGUGCGUGUGUGUGUGUGUGUGUACGUGUGUGUGUUGCGUGUGUGUGUGUGUGUAUAGGUGCGUGUUAACGCGGCUAGGCGAGCAUAACGCAACCGUUGCCCAUGAGCGAGCGAGCGUGUGUCCGCGCGCGGGAGUGACAGCGAGGCGAGGAAUCCAUAUAGCACGCUAGCACGCUGGCUCGCUGCCGCCGUUGCUGCUGCUGCUGCUGCUGCCGCUGCGCCAUGGAUGUGUGUAGUGUAUUACACUGCGUGCCGCUACUGCCACCGUUGCUGAUGCUGAUGCUAGAAUCUACGCCACACGCGAACAGCACCGUCGACCGAUCACGUAAGAGCUGCUGCUAGCAAGCACACACGCACACACACGCACGGAGAGGCAGAGAGAGAGAGAGAGAGGCAGAGAGAGAGAGGAAGAGAGAGAGGAGGAGGGGGGAGGCGGUGAAUUCUGGGCAGCACCACAUGGUGACCCAUUUACGCGAGCUAUAAAUACGUGAGGCGUCGGACUACUACUACGUGUCGGCUGCGUCCACGAAAGAGAGAGAGAGAGAGAGAGAGAGAGAGAGGGAGAGAGAAUAGGCGCUCUGCCCCUCAGCAACCACCCUCGCACCGCCUAGCACACUGAGAGAGUGAGGGGGAGAAGGAGGUGAGGGAGAGAGAAGACUCUCUACCCCUCAGCAUCCACUCUCGCACCGCCUAGCACAGAGGGAGAGAGAGGGGGAGGAGGUGAGGGAGAGAGAACACUCUCUGCCCCUCAGCAUCCACCCUCGCAUCGCGAGAGAGAGGGGGAGAGAGGGGGAGAGAGAGGAGGAGGAGGAGGCAAGGGAGAGCAAGCUCGCUUCCCCAGCAUCCACCCUUGCAGCGCCUAGCGCACACA